UUCGUAGCGGAUCUAUAUUAUAUUCGUAUAGUUAGGUGAUAUACUGAUAUCGCAUGAGCUAAUGUGCUUAACCUCAACUUGUUAGCUGUCAAAUUCUAUACUUUUUUUUGUAAACAAUUAAUGCGAACAUAUUUUUUGGACAAAUACGAAAAUGACACAGUCCAGUGCUCUAAAUUGCAAGAAUAACGGUGUACAAAAGAUUGAAAUCGAAACCUAGGAAGAAUGCCUUAAGAAUUAAAAACUUUACAGCAAAAGGCACAUCUCGUUUAUGUUCAAUGCAUUUGAAGUCAGAUGAUUCGGACAAAGCAAAUAAAACACGAGUUACGAGUCAAAAGAGAUUUUUUUUAAAGAAAACUGCAUUAUCAUCAAUUUCACGUCAGCGGCUUGAAAGAAGGUGCCAGAGAAAGUUACCAUUUGAACAAAAUGUAACUCCAUCAACAAGCCAUGAAACUCUAACUCUGUCAACCCAUGAAACAAACAAUGAAGUCAAAAUGUUCGCAAACUCCAUGGAAAUAGGCAGUGAAACAGAAAUUCUAAAAUAAUAUCCUAGGUGUGUAAGGCAGUAUGAAUGCAGAGAGUAGCUAAACUCGAUAGGCAAGCAAAGAAAUGUCACAGUGGCAUGGGUACCGGGACAUCAGGGAGUAACUGGAAAUGAGAAGGCAGACGAGCAGGCUAGGAAAGGGACGGAGACGGAAUUCAUUGGUCCGGAACCAGCUUUGCCUAUGUCAGCCGAUGUACAUCUACAAGGCAGUAUGAAAUUCUUCACUUAACUAUGUGGAGACAGAAGCUAUACUAAACGACGCAAAUCAAGUUGCGGCACGCAAAGUAACUGCAGUGGCCAUGGUCCGCUCGCCUAACUCGCUUCGUGUCACGCCGCCACGUGCCGUCUCACCGCCGUCGCCGCGCCGCGCUCGCCGCAGGACAUGCCGUCACCCCCGGAGCAGCCGACGCCAGCUCAAACUGACACCGAGACCGAAGUACCUAAUCCAGAAGAACAACAACUCGACGACGUGAUUUUGUCACUACUGGGUGACGCCCCAAAAAGUGACCAUCCAUUUGGGCCAUCUAUGCACAAAGACAUUGCCAACCGAUGGCAAGAGAUACUUUUGAAGGGUUUAGACAAAGAGACGAAAGAAAAAGCGGCCAAGUGCGAGUCGGACUCGCCCAUGAAGGGUUCCGUACCAUUUAUGACGUAUUAAAAAAACUACUUACUAGAUCUGGUUCAAACCAAUUUUCUUUGAAGUUUGCAUGGUAAUGUAUAUCAUAUAUUUUUUUUAGAUUUUUCAUUCCGUUAUUUUAGAAGUUACAGGGGGGGGGGGGGACACACUGUGACAUGCUUUUAGCCAGCGAACGAAAAAAACAUAGAAGACUAAUCUCAAACAAAAUAUCAGCGUAAAAGUGGCCCCGCUAUUAAAACACGCAGUACUCAUAACGGACCAAUUGCAACUCGUCGAUGUUGACGUCUUGUUUUCUUCGACGAAACUGCGUUUGACCAUGAUUAGUCAAUUUAUACCACCCAAACUACGAUUGGUGCAUUAUAAAAUAAGGCGCUGUGAUUGACUGUAGCAUUGACAUUGACACUUGUUAUUUUAUUUUAAAGAGUAUUAAUAUAUAGGCUUAUUAUUUGUUCGUGUGUUAUUAUUUGUUUCUUAUUUAUUUAUUUAAAUGUAAAUGCUUGAUUUGUCAAAGAAAAUACAAAAAUCACUAUAUGCCUUUCAUAUUUGAAGAGUUCCCUCGAUUCCUCGUGGACCCCAUCGUCAGAACUCGAACCUGACAAAAAAUUGUUUAGGAAAUUUAAUUUACUUAACAAACACAGCGAAGAGGAGAAAUCGCCAAACGUGUACUAUACGUCGUUGAAGAAUUCCAUUCUGAUCAUCAUCAGCAGUUCCACUUCAUCAAAUGUCACUUUUUUAAAUGUAAAGAAAUGCUUGAUUUGUUACAGAAAAUACAAAAAUCACUAUA